rnacentral:rRNA from 1 species
UACGGAGGAUGCGAGCGUUGUCCGGAUUUACUGGGUUUAAAGGGUGCGUAGGCGGGCGAUUAAGUGAGAAUUGAAAGGCAGUCGCUCAACGAUUGUAAGGUUCUCAUACUGGUUGUCUUGAGAGUAGUGGAGGCAGAUGGAAUGAGUGGAGUAGCGGUGAAAUGCAUAGAUACCCCGUGGAACACCGAUUGCGAAGGCAGUCUGCUACGCUAUAUCUGACGCUGAGGCAAGAAAGCGUGGGGAGCAAACAGG